UGGUGAUACACUCCUUCUU
rnacentral:siRNA from 1 species